rnacentral:rRNA from 1 species
UACGGAGGGUGCAAGCGUUAUCCGGAUUUACUGGGUUUAAAGGGUGCGUAGGUGGGCAGGUAAGUCAGCGGUGAAAUCUCCGAGCUUAACUCGGAAACUGCCCAUUGAUACUAUCAGUCUUGAAUAUUGUGGAGGUUAGCGGAAUAUGUCAUGUAGCGGUGAAAUGCUUAGAUAUGACAUAGAACACCAAUUGCGAAGGCAGCUUACUACACAACAAUUGACGCUGAGGCACGAAAGCGUGGGGAUCAAACAGG